UUAAUUCCCAUCACAGGCAGUUUGCUAAGGCCUCACCCCAACUAUUUCCCUUAUCAGGCGGUAACACCCCUGGCUUACAAUAUGCACAGAUUCAGGGCCAGAGCCCCCAGGUACUUUUUGCUCAGGAAUGGCCCUUUCUUGUUUGGUCACAGAAUUAUCAAAAUACCCAAACUCCAGGAAGCCCUAAAACCUCCUUUGCAUUACAGAAGCCACCUCAGACACUUCCAGCUUGCUGUUAGUCUUCCUGGUGCAGCUCCUGUGUGGUCCUGUGUGGCAGCCUUCUCUCCUUUGGAGAAGAUCUUAUUCUGUUGCCCAAGCUGGAAUGCAGCGGUGUGAUCACAGCUCACUGCAGCCUUCACCUCCUGUGCUCAAGUGAUCUUCCUGCCUCAGGCUCCUGAAUAGCUGGAACAACAGGCACGCACCUUGGGGAUGGGGUCUCCCCAUGUUGCCCAGGACGGACUCAAACUCCAGAGCUCAAGUGAUCCACCUUCCUUGGCCUUCCAAAGUGCUGGGAUUACAGGCGUGAGCCCCUGCCCCUGGGCUUGGACUGGACUAUUAAUUAUGGAAAGUUAAUGGGAAAUGAAAAAAAAGAAAAAAGAAAAGAAGUAAAGAAAGAGAAGUCCAGUCCUGUUUAUAACUCCCGAGUAAACCCUCCCGCAGCAUUGGCCAGGAUUGUGGCGUGGGCAUGGGCGGGGGUGCGCUUGCUCUGCCCUUCCAUUUUUCUCCCUAUUCCAUCUUAGAGCAUGUGUGUGGGGAGGGUUAGGAGGGAGCCCUGGGAUCCACCAUAGGGACUCCUGCGCUUCUGUACUCCAGUUUCUCUGAUGUGUUAGGAUACCCAGGCGGGAGAGUCUUUUUUCUAACUUGAAGGUUAUUUUCUUCUUGGAUGUUGUGAUGGCUAAUUUCAUGUGUCAACUUGGCCAGGCUGUGGGACUCAGUUGUUCGGGCAGACAUCAGUCUAGAUGUCAGAGGCACGUGAACCAGAGCAACUCCAUCUUGAAUAGGAGCUGGGUAAAAUGAGGCUGAGACCUACUGGGCUGCAUUCCCAGAUGGUUAAGGCAUUCUAAGUCACAGGAUGAGACAGGAGGUUGGCACAAAAUACAAGUCAUAAAGACCUUGCUGAUAAAACGGGUUGCAGUAAAGAAGCCAGCCCAAACCCAUCAAAAUCAAGAUGGCCAAGAGAGUGACCUCUGGUCGUCCUCACUGCACCGUGAUGGUUUACAAAUGCCAUGGCAAUAUCAGGAAGUUACCAAAUAUGGUCUAGAAAGGGGAGGCAUGAAUCAUCCACCCCUUGUUUAGCAUAUCAAGAAAUAACCAUAAAAAUGGGCAACCAGCAGCUGUUGGGGCUGCUCUGUCUAUGGAGUAGCCAUUCUUUGUAUUGAUUGAUUAUGAGCCGGUUUUGCUCUUGUUGCCCAGGCUGGAGUGCAACGGCGCG